CUGCGAACGGCUCAUUAAAUCAGUUGCGAUCUACUCGGCGUUCCGCGCCGCCGGAUAACCGUAGUAAUUCUAGGGCUAAUACGUGCGAAGCGCCCGAAGCCGCGAGGCGACGGGCGUUCUCGCCGGAUGUAGGAACCGACCCGGGGACCGCCGGGGCAACCCGGCGCCCCCGAGACGGGGCGAACCACGGUGAAAUGACGGAUCGUCGGCCCCGCGCCGGCGACUCGCCGAAUGAGUUUCUGACCUAUCAACUCGAGACGGCGGGGUAGAGGCCCCGCCGCGGUAACGACGGGUAACGGGGAAUCAGGGUUCGAUUCCGGAGAGGGGAGCCCGAGAAACGGCUACCACUUCCAAGGAAGGCAGCAGGCGCGCAACUUACCCUAAUCUCGAUUCGAGGAGGUAGUGACAAGAAUACCGAUGCGGGACCCUACGG
rnacentral:rRNA from 1 species